rnacentral:rRNA from 1 species
UACGUAGGGUGCGAGCGUUAAUCGGAAUUACUGGGCGUAAAGCGUGCGCAGGCGGUUUUGCAAGUCGGGUGUGAAAUCCCCAGGCUUAACCUGGGAACUGCAUUCGAGACUGCAUUGCUAGAGUAUGGGAGAGGGAAGUGGAAUUUCCGGUGUAGCGGUGAAAUGCGUAGAUAUCGGAAGGAACAUCAGUGGCGAAAGCGACUUCCUGGACCAAUACUGACGCUCAUGUGCGAAAGCGUGGGGAGCAAACAGG